rnacentral:rRNA from 1 species
AGCUCUGAACAGUGAAUCACUCGGCUUAAGGGCCAAUGAAGAAGGCAGCCAGGUGAGAAACUUGGUGUAAACUGCAGACACUUUGAGAAUUGGUUUAUCGAACGCUCAUUGAGGUCUCGGGUGAUACCUGGAACUUCACUUCUCUGAAGGUCG